rnacentral:rRNA from 1 species
CCUACGGGUGGCAGCAGUCGAGAAUCAUUCACAAUGGGGGAAACCCUGAUGGUGCGACGCCGCGUGGGGGAAUGAAGGUCUUCGGAUUGUAAACCCCUGUCAUGUGGGAGCAAAUUAAAAAGAUCGUACCCCAAGAGGUAGAGACUGCUAACUCUGUGCCAGCAGCCGCGGUAAUACAGAGGUCUCAAGCGUUGUUCGGAAUCACUGGGCGUAAAGCGUGCGUAGGAUGUUUCGUAAGUCGUGUGUGAAAGGCGCGGGCUCAACCCGCGGACGGCACAUGAUACUGCGAGACUAGAGUAAUGGAGGGGGAACCGGAAUUCUCGGUGUAGCAGUGAAAUGCGUAGAUAUCGAGAGGAACACUCGUGGCGAAGGCGGGUUCCUGGACAGUAACUGACGCUGAGGCACGAAGGCCAGGGGAGCGAAAGGGAUUAGAUACCCCUGUAGUC